UACGGAGGGUGCAAGCGUUAUCCGGAUUCACUGGGUUUAAAGGGUGCGUAGGAGGGCAGGGAAGUCAGUGGUGAAAUCUCCGGGCUUAACUCGGAAACUGCCGUUGAUACUAUCUGUCUUGAAUACCGUGGAGGUCAGCGGAAUAUGUCAUGUAGCGGUGAAAUGCUUAGAUAUGACAUAGAACACCAAUUGCGAAGGCAGCUGGCUACACGAAUAUUGACACUGAUGCACGAAAGCGUGGGGAUCAAACAGG
rnacentral:rRNA from 1 species